UGCUGGUCCGAGUGCAGCGGUGUCUGUGACUAAUUGAUCACAGCCAGUUACAGAUGCCUUUGUCCUUCUCCACUCCCACUGCUUCACCUGACCAGCCUAAC
rnacentral:Y_RNA from 1 species